rnacentral:rRNA from 1 species
CAAUAGCGUAUAUUAAAGUUGUUGCAGUUAAAGAGCUCGUAGUUGGAUUUGUGGCUGUCACGGGCGGCCUAUCACUUAGUGUUAGUGCUUGCCUGUGUCGCCAUCCUUGGGUGGAGCCCGUGUGGCAUUAGGUUGUCGUGCGGGGGAUGCCCAUCGUUUACUGUGAGAAAAUUAGAGUGUUCAAAGCAGGCUUAUGCCGUUGAAUAUGUUAGCAUGGAAUAAUAAGAUAGGACCUCGGUACUAUUUUGUUGGUUUGCGCACCGAGGUAAUGAUUAAUAGGGACAGUUGGGGGUAUUCGUAUUUCAUUGUCAGAGGUGAAAUUCUUGGAUUUCUGAAAGACGAACUACUGCGAAAGCAUUUACCAAGGAUGUUUUCAUUAA